GACUCUCACUAAUGGAUAUCUCAUCUCUUGUAUCGAUGAAAAAUGUAGUGAAAUAUGAUACUUAGUGUGAAUUGAAGAAUCCCAUGAACCAUCGAUUCUUUGAACGCAAGUUGCGCCCGAAGCUAUUAGGUCGAGGGCACGUCUGCCUGGGCAUCA